GCAAGUCUACUCUUGCAUACCAUUCAUAUCCUGCUAUGAUACUCUGAGAAGAUUAGCAUGGCCACUGUGCAAGGAUGACAAGCAACUUCAUGAAGCAUUCCAUUUUUAA